UGUUCAGCACACCUGUCUUCAAGCAGCACGGAUUACUGCCUGCAUUUAAAGCCUGUCAAGUUCUCCAGCAUCGCCUGAUGCUUGUUUGUGACUCACCGGCCGACUCUCGUACUCCCAGUGUUCCGUCCGUGCCUACCCCGUCUCGCUGACCGCUCCAGCCACGCCGCCAAGCUGACCCACCUGCUUACGUUCCCGCAUCCUGCUCAGUUCUCGUCGUCGACGGUCUUCCACCUCGCCUUGGACAUUACCCUGAGCCAACCUACAAUAAACUAUUCUAAAUCUACUCCCUUGGCCUCAGUCUGCUCUUGGGUCCAAUCCAAUUCACAUCCUACUACGCUCCGUUACAGGUUGCUUGGUUGAGAGGUACAAAAGUGGGGUCAAUGAGUGAAAGCGGAAAAGAACCCUGCCCCCAGAGGAGAGGAGGAGGGUCCGAUGAGUCUGGCCGCCAAUGAGUCACUGAUGUACUUUUCCAUGGCCGCCCUCUCCGGACGUGAAAGAUUGUACUGUUGGAUGGCAGGGGGGCUCCGGAAAGCAAGUCAAUGGCAGUCAUAAGGUCAGUGUGAAGGAAGCGAAAGGGCCCGUGUCUUGCUAUAAACCUCACCAAAUCUUCAUAUUCUGGUAAAUGAGCUUUUCUCUGACUGAAUCUCUCAUCCUCGCUAAUUUAAAUAUGAAAAACACCUUGCGUCUAAUUGGUCCAUAUCAUGGCAUCUGAUAGCUAGAGGUCACAUUCUUCGAUGCCUAGUUCAGCAAUCUUCAAAUGUUACAUUAGCUAGUGUUUGCUGCCUGCUGAAAAUAAAGUUAACAUGCCCACUUAGAGAAACAUGAUAGAUUCAGGCCAAUAGAGGCGAAUGGGAGUCUAACAAAUAACCUCAUCUUUUAAUGUCCGAUUUUC